UACGGAGGGGGCUAGCGUUGUUCGGAAUUACUGGGCGUAAAGCGCACGUAGGCGGCUUUGUAAGUUAGAGGUGAAAGCCCAGGGCUUAACCCUGGAAUUGCCUUUAAGACUGCAUCGCUAGAAUCGUGGAGAGGUAAGUGGAAUUCCGAGUGUAGAGGUGAAAUUCGUAGAUAUUCGGAAGAACACCAGUGGCGAAGGCGACUCACUGGACACGUAUUGACGCUGAGGUGCGAAAGCGUGGGGAGCGAACAGG
rnacentral:rRNA from 1 species